AAGCUUUGUUCUUUCGCUCUUUGCAGGAACUCUUGCUGCUGCUCGCUCUUUGGGUCCACGCUGCCUUUAGGAGCUGUAACACUCACGGCGAAGGUCCGCAGCUUCACUCCUGAGCCAGCGAGACCACGAGCCCACCGGGAGGAAAGAACAACUCCAGACGCGCCGCCUUAAGAGCUGUAACACUCACCGUGAAGGUCCGCAGCUUCACUCCUGAGCCGGCGAGACCACGAACCCACCAGAAGGAAGAAACUCCAAAGACGUUCAAACAUCAGAAGGAACAAACUCCGGACACGCCACCUUUAAGAACUGUAACACUCACCGCGAGGGUCCAUGGCUUCAUUCUUGAAGUCAGUGAGAUCAAGAACACACCAAUUCUGGACCCAGUAUCUCCCCAUACCCUAACUCCUUUCCCAAAGUAGGCAGAAAAACAGCCCUGUUGUUCCGGUGGAAGCCUUAGCUCUGUAUUCCUUUUAGACUGUAUUUCAAAACGCAUUAUUAGAGCCCCAAAGUCACCUGGUGAAAGAAUGUGAGAGCUGGAAGUGGCCUCAAAAUCCAGUUGAACCCUCUUAUUUCAUAUGUUUGGAAACUGAGCACUAGAAAAGGCUUGGUAGUCCAGGACCAAGG
rnacentral:lncRNA from 1 species